UACGUAGGGCGCAAGCGUUGUCCGGAAUUAUUGGGCGUAAAGAGCUCGUAGGCGGCUUGUCACGUCGGGUGUGAAAGCUUGGGGCUUAACCCCGGGUCUGCAUUCGAUACGGGCUGGCUGGAGUGUGGUAGGGGCUGGUGGAAUGCCUGGUGUAGUGGUGAAAUGCGUAGAGAUCAGGCGGAACACCCGUGGCGAAGGCGGCCAGCUGGGCCGUCCCUGACGCUGAGGCGCGAAGGCGUGGGGAGCGAACAGG
rnacentral:rRNA from 1 species